rnacentral:rRNA from 1 species
GAGUUUGAUCGUGGCUCAGGAUGAACGCUGGCGGCGUGCCUAAUACAUGCAAGUCGAGCGAACGGACGAGAAGCUUGCUUCUCUGAUGUUAGCGGCGGACGGGUGAGUAACACGUGGAUAACCUACCUAUAAGACUGGGAUAACUUCGGGAAACCGGAGCUAAUACCGGAUAAUAUUUUGAACCGCAUGGUUCAAAAGUGAAAGACGGUCUUGCUGUCACUUAUAGAUGGAUCCGCGCUGCAUUAGCUAGUUGGCAAGGUAACGGCUUACCAAGGCAACGAUGCAUAGCCGACCUGAGAGGGUGAUCGGCCACACUGGAACUGAGACACGGUCCAGACUCCUACGGGAGGCAGCAGUAGGGAAUCUU